UAAAGCAAAGGCAUGAAAGGCAGCACGGCUCCUCGCCACUCUUCUGCACUUAGGACUCUGUGAAAUAAAAGCCCUCUACCCAGAUGGUGGGCUGUAUUUGCCCAACAAGAAGAGGAGGACGAGGAGGAGGAGGGGGAGGAAGGAGCAACGUCUUUGGCUGGCAAUAUUCAGCCUCUGAGGCAGCAGCACGCUGACUAAAUCUCCUUCAGCGAACUACAAGCGAAACUCCACUCUGGAAAGGUAUGUAAAUGGCGGAUGAUAUUUCCAGGAACCACUCCAGGUAGAAGCCUCACAACGAGUGGAAAAUUCCUCAUCAUAGAAGACUUUGAUAUUCGAAGAGACACAAAUUUCGACAAAGAGUAGAUGUAGGAAAUUCUGAGAUAUUUUUACAAGCUUUUGGCACGACUUUCCAUUAUCAAUGCAUUAGAAAUUUAAUUACCAAGUCCUUGAACCCCCCACCCGCCAUGUGAGAGCUUUUCGGCUUAGCCAAAAGAGCAGCCUGCCAGAAAAAAAAAACACCUGCCCAGGAGGCCACGUUAAGCAGCUUAUGGCCGAAACUGAUCAAUAAUAAACGAAUUUUAGUUGGCUCCGAGUCGGAGGAGCCCUGCUGGCCCCUGGCUGGUGGGUAGUGGGGGGGAGGAGGGGGUGGUAGGGGGUCCAAUUUAUAAUCCACAAGGCAAACUGCAAUUAAAACGACUUAAUUGUUUAUUAAUGCGCACUUCCCAGUCUGGGCGUGAAAAAAUAAAUUAAUUAGUUGCUAUUUUAAAUAUGGCGCAGACAAUUUAAAAUGCCACGGCCCUGGAAUCCCAUUUUCCAAUGCUGAGGGGCCCUCCUUUGAUUUAUGCUCCCUGCACUUGUUCGUCGAGGGCUGGGAGUGGGGGCCUGCAUCGAUGCUGCUGCCGAGGGGGAGCCAAUUUAAUUGCUGGCUGGAUUUUCACACUAAAUCCAUGUUUCCUGCAAACAGCACAGAAAUAGCUUUGGUCUUGGAGCAGGGGAGGAACACGUACCCCUACGCGGGCUUCGGCGUGUCGUGUGAUGAUUAAUGAGACAAUUUUUAUGACGACGAACAGUGGAGCCACAAGGGGGAGUAGGGGAGUCCAUGCAGAGCCUCUACUCAUUCCUUUAGGGUCUACAGAUUCCCCCUUUUUCCAUCCAUCUCCCACCACUGUGCCCCCCGAAGACUUGUCGCUGCCACAUGAAUAACAUGAAUUGCGUUAUGAAAAAUGUACAACAGAAGUUCGUGCAGAUGGAUGGCUGCUACAUGGGGGCUGGGGGCUGGGGGGGCCUCUUUUGGGGUCUGCUGCCAUCAUUACAGAGCUGAGCGAUAAGCGACGUUGCAUGCGGCGACACCACUGACGAUUGCAGAAUGAUGGAUACGUCUAUGGGAGAUGGGAGAGUGCCUGCCUGCCUGCCUGCGACAGACAAGAAUGCGAAUUGAUGUGGCACGUGGGUGCAAUGCUGUUGACUUUGAAAGAUUUAUAUGAAGAGCAACGUCGACAGCUAGCAAAAAUUAGCUGCCACUCUGACAGGCUGCCACAUGCAACGUGCAUGCGGCACAAUUAACACAGGGCCGCCAGCACACACAGACAGGAGUCAUCGUCUUCGUCUCUCAAGGACCUCGUUUCGUGGCCAUGCAAAAGUCAGGCAACAGUCUUUUAUUCGUUAGACUCUUACAGAUUCUCUUCCACGGUCUCCGAGUCCGAGCGCUGGCAGCAUUUCUUGACCCUGUGACAUUUGGGCCAGGGCAGACACAGCUGCGGUAUGUACUCGUCCAUAGAUGCCCGCGAGGGGGUGGGGAGCAGGGCCAACCCCACCAAUAGGGCGAGCAACAAGCACUUCCAGCCGGCAAUCAUUGUAUUCCACGUAGAGGCUUACCCUAGAGGCCACACCAAAGUUUUGAAGAGUGCGGAACGGCUUUCGGGAAUCGGUUUGUUCCAGGCCCGAACCGUGCUGAAAAGCCAAGACUUCUGACGCCUCAAAGUCCCGGGUUCUAGCCCCCCCCCCAUCACCCUUCCACACACUCGUUAUAUUUCAGCUUUUACCAGCUUUGGGUAUAUUUGAACUCUGUUUCGGGAUCGUAUUCCUCCUCUUCAGACCAAACCAGCUGCGUACUCCCCUCGUUAUGGGUUCGCUGGCAGCACAGCUUGAGGUAGGUACAUCUUGGCCAGGGCGGACAGUGGUGAACGGCACAGUCUAGGAGCGGCAGAAGACUGGCAAUGCAGACGAUUACCACAAAA
rnacentral:sRNA from 1 species